GACGAACGCUGGCGGCGUGCUUAACACAUGCAAGUCGAACGGAAAGGCCCUGCUUUUGUGGGGUGCUCGAGUGGCGAAGGGAUGAGUAACACGUGAGUAACCUGCCCUUGACGUUGGGAUAACUUCAGGAAACUGGGGCUAAUACCGGAUAGGAGCACCUGCUGAAUGGUGGGGGUUGGAUGGUUUCGGCGGUUGGGGAUGGAAUCGCGGCUUAGCAGCUUGUUGGUGGGGGAGUGGCUUACCAGGGCUUUGACGGGUAGCCGGCCUGAGAGGGUGACCGGCCACAUUGGGACAGAGAUACGGCCCAGACUCUUACGGGAGGCAGCAGUGUGGAAUAUUGUACAAUGGGCGGAAGCCUGAUGCAGCAACGUCGCGUGCGGGAUAACGGCCUUCGGGUGUUAAACCGCUUUCGCCUGUGACGAAGCGUGAGUGACGGUAAUGGGUAAAGAAGCACCGGCUAACUACGUG
rnacentral:rRNA from 1 species